rnacentral:rRNA from 1 species
AUUGAACGCUGGCGGCAUGCUUUACACAUGCAAGUCGAACGGUAACAGGCCUUCGGGUGCUGACGAGUGGCGAACGGGUGAGUAAUGCAUCGGAACGUACCCAGAGGUGGGGGAUAACGCAGCGAAAGCUGUGCUAAUACCGCAUGUGAUCUGAGGAUGAAAGCGGGGGACCGAGCAGCAAUGUUUGGCCUCGCGCCUUUGGAGCGGCCGAUGUCGGAUUAGCUAGUUGGUGGGGUAAAGGCCUACCAAGGCGACGAUCCGUAGCUGGUCUGAGAGGACGACCAGCCAAACUGGGACUGGGACACGGCCCAGACUCCUACGGGAGGCAGCAGUGGGGAAUUUUGGACAAUGGGCGGAAGCCUGAUCCAGCAAUGCCGCGUGGGGGAAGAAGGCCUUCGGGUUGUAAACCGCUUUUGGCAGGAACGAAACGGUGUCCGCUAAUACCGGGCGCUAAUGACGGUACCUGCAGAAUAAGCACCGGCUAACUACGUG